GGUUGUGUAGUGUAGCGGUUAGCACGUGGGAUUUUGAUUACAUCUUCAGAUAUGUCAGAAUAGCCUUCCCGAGUCCCCGGUUCGAUCCCGGGCACGACCU